rnacentral:lncRNA from 1 species
GCCCUACUGGUCCAACAAUUAAGGCACGAUACAAGUAGGGCGGGCCCACCCGCUCUUUGCAGUUGUCCGGGUCCUCGAGUCGAAUAUCAGCAACCGGCGCCGCCCGCCCCGCGCGCUGCUCAAGCGCCGCGUCGCCUGCCUCAUGCCGCCGCCACCGGCCUCUCUCCCGGGCUCCCAGGCGCGGCGCUCGCGCCGGGCCUCGCGCCUCCUCCGAAUUCCUCCUCGGGCAGCGACCGCAAACACGAUCUUAUUAUUGUUCUCGCGCGCGCUCAGCAUCCCCCCCGCCCCGCUUCCGCUCCCCUCCCCUCCCGCGCCGGCCGGUUAAUUCCUAGGUGCACGGCCGGUUUUCGCGGAGAAACCGAGCGCGCCAGCCCGGCUGCUCGGCGGGCGGGCGGGCGGGCGGGCGAUGGGUGCGUCCUCCCCCAGGAACGAAGCCCGCGACGGGCGGGAGAGCCUACUCCGAGGACGCCCGCCGCUUGCUCUCUUUUGUUCUUGGCCGGGAGCUGCCUGCCUCAGCCCAGCCAAUCACCACCCGGCCGCCCCCCACCCCGCCCGGCCGCGCCACCCUGGGGGGCGCUCCCACCGCGCGCCCCACGCCCACCUCCCGCCAACUCGACCCCCGGCCCCGGCGCCCCCCUGGCCGGCCAGCUCUGCGGUGCUCUCUGGGCCUGAAGCCUUGGAACAAGCUGAGCACGGACCACUCUUCUACUCUGAGCUUCCUAACAGGCUGUUUUCAAAGACAUUUUGGGAGAGAGACGCUGCCCAACACCCUCUUCGUUUCAGAGGAGUAAAUAAAAUGACGCAAAAAAGUCUUAGAGUCUGGCUGCAUCAACCUCCAGCCUGCUUUAAGAGGUCAGCAGGCCGGCCCCUGAGCGCAGCCGACUUCCUGUGGCCUGCACCCUGGCCCAAGGAUAGUCUGGGCCGGCUCUCCCAUCCCUGUCUGCUCUCCCUUUUGCAGGAGCUACACUCUUUUCCCAGCACCGCCUGCCUCUGUUGCGUUGGAGAAUCGUGUGUGUGGUUGUGUGUGUGUGUGUGUGUGUGGUUGUGUGUUUUAACUCUGGUCUUGUUCCUUAGUGCUGGACUUCCGAAACUGGGGGGCUGCAAAGUUUCAAGACCCCUUCCUCACCUACUCGGCAGGUUCACCUCUUUCUCUUUUCCCACUGGGAAAGGCUGA